AGCGCGGGCGGGAAGACAGGUUGGAAGUGAAAUCCAUGGGCUCAACCCAUGAACUGCUUUCAAAACUGUUUUUCUUUGAGUAGUGCAGAGGUAGGCGGAAUUCCCGGUGUAGCGGUGAAAUGCGUAGAGAUCGGGAGGAACACCAGUGGCGAAGGCGGCCUACUGGGCUUUAACUGACGCUGAGGCACGAAAGUGUGGGUAGCAAACA
rnacentral:rRNA from 1 species